rnacentral:tRNA from 1 species
GAGCGUUUAGCUCAGUUGGUUAGAGCGCUGUCCUGAUAAGACAGAGGUCCUAGGUUCAAAUCCUAGAACGCUCA